rnacentral:rRNA from 1 species
CAUUAUUGAAUUGUGGGCUCCGGCCCCAUUACAACAAACCCUUCAUAACCUCUUGUGAACAAUGUCGGCCCUCGGGCCUUCAAACUCCAAACUUUUGUGUGUCGUAUGAACGUAAUAACAAUGAAAAUAAACACAACUUUCAACAAUGGAUCUCUUGGCUCUCGCAUCGAUGAAGAACGCAGCGAAUUGCGAUAAGUGAUGUGAAUUGCAGAACACAGUGAAUCAUCGAAUCUUUGAACGCACCUUGCACCCUCUGGUAUUCCGGAGGGUAUGCCUGUCUGAGUGUCAUGACAACCUCAACCCCACCGGGUCUUCCGCGUGGGAUUGGAUAUGGGCGUCUGCCGUCCUUAACAAACGGCUCGCCUUAAAAGUCUCAGUGGGACCGACCCUUUGUGUCGACGUGUUAAGUCUUCGUCGUCUUCUGGGCCUGGGCCUGCUCAUAACCCGCCUUCACCGGCAAUCACUCUUGACUUUGACCUCAGAUCAGGUAGGACUACCC